rnacentral:rRNA from 1 species
CAGCACCUCAAGUGGUCAGGAUGAUUAUUGGGCCUAAAGCAUCCGUAGCCGGCGCUGUAAGUUUUCGGUUAAAUCUGUACGCUCAACGUACAGGCUGCCGGGAAUACUGCAGCGCUAGGGAGUGGGAGAGGUAGACGGUACUCGGUAGGAAGGGGUAAAAUCCUUUGAUCUAUUGAUGACCACCUGUGGCGAAGGCGGUCUACCAGAGCACGUCCGACGGUGAGGGAUGAAAGCUGGGGGAGCAAACCGGAUUAGAGACCCGAGUAGUCC